GACGAACGCUGGCGGCGUGCCUAAUACAUGCAAGUAGAACGCACAGUUUAUACCGUAGCUUGCUACACCAUAGACUGUGAGUUGCGAACGGGUGAGUAACGCGUAGGUAACAUGCCUGGUAGCGGGGGACAACUAUUGGAAACGAUAGCUAAUACCGCAUAAUAUUAAUUAUUGCUUGAAAAUUAAUUGAUAGGUGCAAUUGCACUACUACCAGAUGGACCUUCGUUGUAUUAGCUAGUAGGUGAGGUAACGGCUCACCUAGGCGACGAUACAUAGCCGACCUGCGAGGGUGAUCGGCCACACUUGGAAUGGGACACGGCCCAGACUCCUUCGGGAGGCAGCAGUAGGGAAUCUUCGGCAAUGGACGAAAGUCUGACCGAGCAACGCCGCGUGAGGGAAGAAGGUUUUCGGAUCGUAAAGCUCUGUUGUAAGAGAAGAACGGGUGUGAGAGUGGAAAGUUCACACUGUGACGGUAGCUUAACAGAAAGGGACGGCUAACUACGUG
rnacentral:rRNA from 1 species